rnacentral:miRNA from 1 species
AAUUGUAAAUUCUAAUAAUAAUGAUGGCCAGAAGCCUUUGCUGUAAAGGUUAUUACCUUUACAGCAAAGGCUUCUGGCCAUCAUUAUUAUUAUCAGUU